GGCGGUUCGCCGCCCGCGACGUCGCGAGAAGUCCACUGAACCUUAUCAUUUAGAGGAAGGAGAAGUCGUAACAAGGUUUCCGUAGGUGAACCUGCGGAAGGAUCAUUGUCGCUGCCCCGAAACACGACCGCGAACACGUAACGUAAAGCCGCCGGGGAGGGGCCUCCUCCCCGGACCCGCCGGCCCCGGCCCCCCGGCCGGGCGCCGGAACACGGCGCGGACUGUCGCCAAGGAACACCGAUCUGCCCACGGCACGCCGCGCUCCGCGGCGCUGCCGAGGCCAUAGAAACAGUACGACUCUCGGCAACGGAUAUCUCGGCUCUCGCAUCGAUGAAGAACGUAGCGAAAUGCGAUACGUGGUGUGAAUUGCAGAAUCCCGUGAACCAUCGAGUCUUUGAACGCAAGUUGCGCCCGAGGGACCCUCCCGAGGGCACGCCUGCCUGGGCGUUAGAAGCCCAUCAACGCCCGGUCACCCGACCGCGUGCGGACAGUGGCCCCCCGAGCCGCAGAGGCACGGCGGGCUGAAGCGCGAGGCCGUCGACCGCGUCGGGAGCGGCAAGUGGUGGGCCACAGCGCAUGCCGACCCCGACCCGCGUCGACGCACGGCCCUUCCGGACCCCACGACGAGGAGACCGUCGCCGCGGCGGCGGCUCCUUCGGACCGAUACCCCAGGUCAGGCGGGGCCACCCGCUGAGUUUAAGCAUAUAAAUAAG
rnacentral:rRNA from 1 species